AAAAAUAUUAAAGUUUCAAAACACUGCGAUGAUGAUUACAAAUAAUUUGAAUUUUCGCGCUACUUUUUUCAGGGCACGCCACAGGGGUACCAACACCUAAACUAUAAAUUACGUCAUUGCAGAAGAACAAAGAAUAUCUUACUUUCCAAAUAGUCUUCAAGAUACAGCAUUUUGCAACAAUGAUCAGACGACCUUUAACAGAAAUCACACUGAAACUAGAUGAUCUUCAAGAAUAUGAAUCUAUUCGGAGAGACCAAGGAAAUAACUCAUCGUCAAAUAGUGAAAUGCAGGAAGACACUCCAAAACCGUUAGAUGUAGUGAAAACUAUUGAAGAAAUUCAUAACAGAAUUGGAUAUGCUCCUAAGAAAAAGCUUAGUGGUCCUAGUACUGUGUAAAAUAAAAUACUUAUGUUAAGAAAUAAAACUUAAUUUGCGGAACAGAUCUUUAUUUGUAUUUAAACUCUUCUAAUUUAGUACAUCGAAAUUUUUCUUAAUAUUACAUUUAAAACUAGUAGAAUUAGUAAAAUGAUUUAAGCUUAAUUACAUAGUAACUUAAAAAAACUAGUGAGUAAACAGCAAAAAUGAUCGUGCUUUUAAAUUACAAUAAAAUGCCACGUUGCUCCUUUCAGUAAAGUACCAUGUUAACACCAAUAUUAUGUUUCUUUAUCAAUAAAUGACCACUUAAUGAGA